GCCUGCUUGGGAUUUUCUCUCUCCUUCUCCCUACCCCUUUCCUGCUUGUACACACACCUAAAAAUAAAUAAACAUUAAAAAAAUAAAAUAUAAAGUACGUUUCUAAAACACGCCAUUUUUCUUCAGUGAAGGAUAUAAUUAAAUACAGUACCAUCUAAUGUAGAUCUCAAAAAAAUAUAUGUGGAGUGUGUGCCUCACCCCACCUUUGAUUGUGAAUCAUUUUACUCAUCAUUUUACUCAUCAUUUUACUGAUAAAUGCUGCUUCAGUCUUCUAUUCUAAGCCUCUUCCAAGUAGUGUUUAAGGUGGGGUCAUUAGGAAGAUUCUUAAAUCAUUAAAGAUUAAACUUCUUCAUGUAGAAACCUUGUGGAGUCAUGAUAACAUAGCUUCACUAUGAGCCUUUUCUGAUUUUAGAAGUAUUCAUGGAACCUGAAGAAUUACUUUUCUGAUUGUUUUUUGUUGUUGUUGUUGUUAUUGUUUUUUUCAGAUUCAACACCAAAAAAAAGCAGGGAGAAACUAAGACUCAAUCAAGGCUGUAGCUUAAAUGCAUUUGAAGGGAGUUUACUACUGUGUUACUGGGCAUUUUUUUUCUUGUAUCAUCAACAGACUUGGAAAAAACUCACUUUUUAGUAUAGAUUUUAUUCUAUACAACAUUAAUGCAGAUACAAGCAGCCAGUGUCUACUGAGAGAAUUCUUACUCUCUUCUCCAGAGCAUAUUAUUUUGCACCUCUUCUGUGAAGGCUAGGAGAAUGAUUGCUUGUAAGGUACUAUUUUAAUAGUACAAUUCAAAAUAGAAUAUUUUAACAAUUACUUUAUAUGAAUUCUGUGGAUACCUGUAAUGUAACCAUAAUGCAGUGGUGAGUAUUCCAGUAAUUGUUUUUGGAGGGAGAUUUCUCACCUGCUUGUCCGGUUUGUCACAGUCACGGGAAGUCAUGCGUUAUCAAGUACUUCUGUGUUCUCCGUAUCAGCUUCUAGUGCCACGAGAGGGGUGUGUACCUGCUGCCCCACCCCACAAGAGUUAGUGUGCCUGACUCUUGGCUAUCAUGUGCCAGAUGUUUUGUGCUAACCCCCCAAAAAGGUUUUCUCUGUUAAAUCUGAAAAUGCAUUUUUUUUUAUCCUACAGGGAAAUUUUUAAAGUAGUGUUCAGUAACUUCAAAUGAAUAAAAUUGACCGUCACAUUGAUCUAUUUUAAAACUACUUUUUCAAACAUAUGAAGUAUUUGACUUUUCCCAGUGGGUUCCCAUGUACUUCAAAGACCCUGCUGUAGUUUGCUGGUUCUGUUAAUAGAAUCUUCCAUGUAAGAGUUCCACAUCAAAGGCAAGGAGUAAGUAUACCAUUGUGUAAGAUUGGGUCAGAACUUGGGUCAGUUACCUGUCGUGUUACACAACAGAGUCAACAAAAGCACAAACAUUAUCCCUCUCUGUAUAAUAGAAAAUAGACACAUAAGUCUUUAUCAAAUUUUUCUGAGAGUUUAUAAGUUCUUGACACCAAUAAGUUGUUUUCUGUGAUUUCAGUAUUACAGGUUACACAGAUUUUGUCUUGUGACAAAAUUUUGCUAUACAAAGGAGGAAUGUUUUGUGCAAAUGAUGUAGAGUUUAGUUGUAAGGUUUCCAGUUCUCUGAAUGGCUUUAUUAAAAGAUCUCUGAACUUGGGACACACAUGGGUAUUUCCUCCCUCUCAGCCCUCUUCUGUAGUCCAGCUGCCUCAGUAAUUACUCUUGACUGUUGUCUCAGGUGGGUCUCCUGUAAUCAAGAGACACUUAAGCAUGGUUGGGGCCAGGUGUCCACCUUUCUCUAUGCUGUGAGCCUUCCCCUAAACUUGUUACCAUUUGAAUUUUAGCAAAAUAAAAUGUCUCAAGUUGACUCAUGCCUUUGUGAAGCUUGUCUUUGAUAAUAAGUGGAACUGAGUCUAUAUUAUCAUCUUGGCACAACAGCAGCAACCAGCCAGCUCUUGGAAUCUCUCGUGCUUUCCUCCUAAGAAAAUAAGAGGUGGUUUGCAGGCUCCUUCAGUGACUCAGUGAGUUACAUCACUCAUCCUGGGAAAGAGAAUUAUAAUUGAAAGGAAUGACACUAUUGUAAGUAUUCAUUACAUUUUUUAUGUAGUUUUAAUUCAUACUUGACUGAGCAAUUAGAAAAGUAUGGUUCCAGAUACUCUAAUCAAACAAAUGAAUUGGCAUCUGUACACAUACACAUACUCACAUGACAUUUAAAGCCCCAGAAUUUAAAUAAGCAUCACUUUAAUAAUAUCUGAAGCUCUUGCAAGAAAUAUAAUGGUGGCUGUCUUUACUCUCUUACAUAAAACUUCUGCAUAAGACUAGUUAAUACAAAAUUAGACCACUUACAGCAUUACAGACAUUUGGAUAUUCAAAUG